GAUGAACGCUGGCGGCGUGCCUAAUACAUGCAAGUCGAGCGAACAGACGAGGAGCUUGCUCCUCUGACGUUAGCGGCGGACGGGUGAGUAACACGUGGAUAACCUACCUAUAAGACUGGGAUAACUUCGGGAAACCGGAGCUAAUACCGGAUAAUAUAUUGAACCGCAUGGUUCAAUAGUGAAAGACGGUUUUGCUGUCACUUAUAGAUGGAUCCGCGCCGCAUUAGCUAGUUGGUAAGGUAACGGCUUACCAAGGCAACGAUGCGUAGCCGACCUGAGAGGGUGAUCGGCCACACUAGAACUGAGACACGGUCCAGACUCCUACGGGAGGCAGCAGUAGGGAAUCUUCCGCAAUGGGCGAAAGCCUGACGGAGCAACGCCGCGUGAGUGAUGAAGGUCUUCGGAUCGUAAAACUCUGUUAUUAGGGAAGAACAAAUGUGUAAGUAACUAUGCACGUCUUGUCGGUACCUAAUCAGAAAGCCACGGCUAACUACGUG
rnacentral:rRNA from 1 species